rfam:Brachypodium distachyon strain Bd21 chromosome 5, whole genome shotgun sequence.
CUUAUACUCCCUCCGUCGAACAAAAGAUGUCUCAAGUUUGUCAAAAUUUGGAUGUAUCUAGACAUAACUUUGUGUAUAGAUGCAUUCAAAUUUAGUCAAAGUUGAGACAUCUUUGUUGGACGGAGGAAGUACACA